UGGGGAAUAUUGCACAAUGGGCGCAAGCCUGAUGCAGCCAUGCCGCGUGUGUGAAGAAGGCCUUCGGGUUGUAAAGCACUUUCAGCGAGGAGGAAGGUGGUGAGCUUAAUACGCUCAUCAAUUGACGUUACUCGCAGAAGAAGCACCGGCUAACUCCGUGCCAGCAGCCGCGGUAAUACGGAGGGUGCAAGCGUUAAUCGGAAUUACUGGGCGUAAAGCGCACGCAGGCGGUUUGUUAAGUCAGAUGUGAAAUCCCCGGGCUCAACCUGGGAACUGCAUUUGAAACUGGCAAGCUAGAGUCUCGUAGAGGGGGGUAGAAUUCCAGGUGUAGCGGUGAAAUGCGUAGAGAUCUGGAGGAAUACCGGUGGCGAAGGCGGCCCCCUGGACGAAGACUGACGCUCAGGUGCGAAAGCGUGGGGAGCAAAACAGGAUUAGAUACCCUGGUAGUCCACGCUGUAAACGAUGUCAACUAGUUGUUGGGGGAUUCAUUUUCCUUAG
rnacentral:rRNA from 1 species